UGGGGAAUUUUGGACAAUGGGCGAAAGCCUGAUCCAGCAAUGCCGCGUGUGUGAAGAAGGCCUUCGGGUUGUAAAGCACUUUUGUCCGGAAAGAAAUCCUUGGCUCUAAUACAGUCGGGGGAUGACGGUACCGGAAGAAUAAGCACCGGCUAACUACGUGCCAGCAGCCGCGGUAAUACGUAGGGUGCAAGCGUUAAUCGGAAUUACUGGGCGUAAAGCGUGCGCAGGCGGUUUGCUAAGACCGAUGUGAAAUCCCCGGGCUCAACCUGGGAACUGCAUUGGUGACUGGCAGGCUAGAGUAUGGCAGAGGGGGGUAGAAUUCCACGUGUAGCAGUGAAAUGCGUAGAGAUGUGGAGGAAUACCGAUGGCGAAGGCAGCCCCCUGGGCCAAUACUGACGCUCAUGCACGAAAGCGUGGGGAGCAAACAGGAUUAGAUACCCUGGUAGUCCACGCCCUAAAACGAUGUCAACUAGUUGUUGGGGAUUCAUUUCCUUAGUAACGUAGCUAACGCGUGAAGUUGACCGCCUGGGGAGUACGGUCGCAAGAUUAAAAGUCAAAGGAAUUG
rnacentral:rRNA from 1 species